AGUGAACGCUGGCGGUAGGCCUAACACAUGCAAGUCGAACGGCAGCACAGUAAGAGCUUGCUCUUACGGGUGGCGAGUGGCGGACGGGAGAGGAAUACAUCGGAAUCUACUUUUUCGUGGGGGAUAACGUAGGGAAACUUACGCUAAUACCGCAUACGACCUACGGGUGAAAGCAGGGGAUCUUCGGACCUUGCGCGAUUGAAUGAGCCGAUGUCGGAUUAGCUAGUUGGCGGGGUAAAGGCCCACCAAGGCGACGAUCCGUAGCUGGUCUGAGAGGAUGGUAGGCCGCACUGGAGCUGGGACGCGGUCCAGACUCCUACGAGAGGCAGCAGUGGGGAAUAUUGGACAAUGGGCGCAAGCCUGAUCCAGCCAGACCGCGUGGGUGGAGGAGGCCUUCGGGUUGUAAAGCCCUUUUGUUGGGAAAGAAAAGCAGCAGGUUGAUACCCCGCUGUUCUGACGGUACCCAAAGAAUAAGCACCGGCUAACUUCGUG
rnacentral:rRNA from 1 species